rnacentral:rRNA from 1 species
ACGGGUGAGUAAUGUCUGGGAAACUGCCUGAUGGAGGGGGAUAACUACUGGAAACGGUAGCUAAUACCGCAUGACCUCGCAAGAGCAAAGUGGGGGACCUUCGGGCCUCACGCCAUCGGAUGUGCCCAGAUGGGAUUAGCUAGUAGGUGAGGUAAUGGCUCACCUAGGCGACGAUCCCUAGCUGGUCUGAGAGGAUGACCAGCCACACUGGAACUGAGACACGGUCCAGACUCCUACGGGAGGCAGCAGUGGGGAAUAUUGCACAAUGGGCGCAAGCCUGAUGCAGCCAUGCCGCGUGUGUGAAGAAGGCCUUAGGGUUGUAAAGCACUUUCAGCGAGGAGGAAGGGUUCAGUGUUAAUAGCACUGUGCAUUGACGUUACUCGCAGAAGAAGCACCGGCUAACUCCGUGCCAGCAGCCGCGGUAAUACGGAGGGUGCAAGCGUUAAUCGGAAUUACUGGGCGUAAAGCGCACGCAGGCGGUUUGUUAAGUCAGAUGUGAAAUCCCCGAGCUUAACUUGGGAACUGCAUUUGAAACUGGCAAGCUAGAGUCUUGUAGAGGGGGGUAGAAUUCCAGGUGU